rnacentral:rRNA from 1 species
AAUAAACGUUGGCGGCGUGCUUAACACAUGCAAGUCGAGCGAGAAAGGUCUUCGGACUGAGUACAGCGGCAAACGGGUGCGUAACACGUAGGAAUCUACCUUUCAGUGAAGAAUACUCUCGAGAAAUCGAGGUUAAUACUGCAUACGUCUCGCAAGAGAGAAAGAUGGCCUCUUUGCUGUCGCUGAAAGAUGAGCCUGCGGACUAUUAGCUUGUUGGUGGGGUAAAGGCCUACCAAGGCGAUGAUGGAUAGCCGGCCUGAGAGGGUGUACGGCCACACUGGAACUUAGACACGGUCCAGACUCCUACGGGAGGCAGCAGUGAGGAAUAUUGCGCAAUGGGCGAAAGCCUGACGCAGCGACGCCGCGUGGAGGAUGAAGGUCUUAGGAUUGUAAACUUCUGUUAAGCGGGAAGAAAGACAAAGUGUUAAUAGCACUUUGAGAUGACGGUACCGCUAGAGAAAGCACCGGCUAACUUCGUG